rnacentral:rRNA from 1 species
UACGUAGGGAGCAAGCGUUGUCCGGAAUCAUUGGGCGUAAAGAGCGUGUAGGCGGCCCGAUAAGUCCGCUGUGAAAGUCCAGGCUCAACCCUGGGAUGCCGGUGGAUACUGUCGGGCUCGAGUCCGGAAGAGGAGUGUGGAAUUCCUGGUGUAGCGGUGAAAUGCGCAGAUAUCAGGAGGAACACCAAUGGCGAAGGCAGCACUCUGGGACGUGACUGACGCUGAGACGCGAAAGCGUGGGGAGCAAACAGG